GCACUAGUCGGGGAGCUAGCGGUGCCCUGUACCUGCAAUCCGCUAUAGCAGGGAUGAAUCCCCUCCCGAGGAAGUAUGAUGUGUCGUCUGCCCGCGGCAAGUGGCGUUGAGGAUCAGGUCUUGCGCAACGCAGCCCUGCGAACCAUGUCAGGCGGGGAACCGAGCAGCAUUAAGCGGGCCCCUGUGUGUGCCGCGAGGGCGCCGGGUCUGAGUUAACUGCUGCGGUAACGGACAUAUCCUGCUUUCGAAGGCGGGU
rnacentral:SRP_RNA from 1 species